AUCAGAUUUAUAUCUACAUAUAUAUUCUUGUAACAUUUUAACGUUUAGUAGAUCAUACCACUAUUAAAUCUACUCAGAUUUUUGUUUAUGGCCUAAACUACAUUUCAUAUGAAACGACAAAUCGAGUUUUUUAAGUCACAAGAAUGUGGUGUUCAGUAUGUAGGAGAACCAGAACAAGCUUAAGCCAACGUACAGAAAAAAAACAGAUUUCACAUUUGAGGAUAUAUAUAGAAAAUAAAGGUAUUAGAUUAUCAACGUUCAAAUAAAUAUAUGCAUUUUCUAUGAUUAUAAAUAAGAAGAUGUGGUAUGAGUGCCAAUGAGACAACUAUCCAUCCAAAUUACAAUGUGUAAAAAGUAAACAAUUAUAGGUCAAUGUACGGCCUUCAACACGGAGCCUUGGCUCACACCGAACAGCAAGCUAUAAAGGGCCCUGAAAAGACUAGUGUAAAACAAUUUAAACAGGAUAACCAACGGUCUAAUCUAUAUAAAAAUGAGAAACGAGAAACACUUAUUAAACACACCAACAAACGGCAACCACUGAACAACAGGCUCUUGACUUAGGACAUGUGCACUUCAUACUGAAUAUUCCCUUGGUCUAAAAUAAUACGAAAAUACCAUCCUGGGUAAUGGCAAACAAAUAAAAAAACAAUCUCUUGAUAUAAAAGAUCUGACCCCAAAAUUAAACCUCAGUGUUAAGUUUUGUCUUAUCGGACUUUUUAUAUGUUUUAAUAUGCCCUUUUCAGAUCCAAUGGAGAAGAAAUUGAAAUCAAUGGUGAUGUUCAAAACAGCGAUCCAUCAGCCAUACCUUUAACCUCAUACGAUGAUAAAACGAAGAACGCAGAUAGAGAUUAAAAAGACAUUAUGCUAACGAUUACUGUGUAUCUGUUACGAGUUUUCGUUACCUUAGCAGUUGAGUCCAGACCCAGCACACCAUGUACACGACAAGAAAGUUAACGCGGCGUUAACUCAUGUGCACGUCAUGUAAACGCCACGUUUAUUAUAUGUAAACCACACAAUUGUAUUAGACACAAAUAGUAAACUCGCGUUUUCUUUCACGACAACUUUAGCAUCAACGUGAAAACCGCGCUUUUUAUUAAUUUCUGCUUAAAGUAAUCGCAGGUUUACUGUUUGUACUGAACGUGAAAUAACGCAGUUUGUCAUAGUAUUUUGGAUGGGGACCCUAAUUUACGAGGUAUAAACCAAAGGGUCGAAAUAUCUUAAUCCAAAAAUCAUAAACUGGAUACACAACUUUAGAAUACUUAUACGUUUAAUAGAUUCAAUAGAUUCAAUAUGACACUAUUCCUACAAAGGAUUAAACGUGAACAGAAGACGUAGAUACUCCUUUUGAAUAGGACAAGGCUGUGACAUCGUUGAAACAAAUGGUGAUAGAAAGAAAUAUACGUUCAUGUACACUCGUGUAACAUUUCUUCAUUAAACAAAUAUUGCUAAACCUUUGUCCUACAUCACGGACACGAACUUUAUUUACCCUCUUUAUUCGUGAUAGAACCAAUGUUAUUUAUUAUUGAUUUCUAAAUAACUGUGAUAAAUACUAUUUCAUCUUAUCCUUAUGUUAUAUAUAUAGUAUCCCUCAUUAUCCCUGAUGAUCGAAUAUACUUCGUCCCAAAUUUAUGCCAAUAUAACCACAGGUUAUCCGAUAGAUAACGUCUGUCGUAAAGUUGUUCCAAAUUUAGAUGUAUAUAUAAGGCUGAAAAUGCACUAAAUAUUUAUAUUCAAUAUGAAUAAUCACAUUUUGUCUAUUAAGACAUCAAAUUGUUUUAAAAUGUUCUCCAUAAUUUCCUACCGAUUUACUGUUUCAUAGAUAUUCAUGGAUAUGGAAAUUAUGGAGAACAUUUUAGAAGAAUUUGAUGUCUUAUAGACAAAAUGUGAUUAUAAACUAAAGAAAAUAUAAUUGUUCUAGCAAGCGGGAAGAAGGAAGAGAAAAGAAAUUCAUUGUAUUUAACUAAAUAAGAUAACAAAAAGCUGUUAUAUUUCCACAAAAUAUAGUUUAUCGCACUAUCAUGAAACAUAUAAUACAUACAUGGGUCAUUAAGCAUUUGUUUCAACCAGACUUUUAAAUAGGGACAUAAAACGGAAGAAUACUAUAUUACAAAUCAUUAUACAUAGACAGUUUAAAAUAGAACACUGUAAUAAAUUUAUCAACUGCUUUCAUGGAGUAAAACGAAACUAGAUGCAUCUUGGAUCAUAGUUCGCUCACUUGGAUGUAUUUUGCACUGAAAGUGACACUAGGCUUUCAUUAUAAACAAACGUGAUAACAGGGAAUCAAGCAUGCAGUUAUUGAGCCUAUUUUGUCUGUUUUAUACUCUGCUGUUUAUAUAUAGAGUUGGUUGUUUUAGAAAUUCCAACAGUUCAGCCAUAUCUAAAAUAAUCUACAAAUUUAAUAACCAAACGAUUCCAGAAAACCAUACACUAGGCUGUACAGAUAAAGAAACACAAACAUUAGCCUGUUUGAAUGGAGGAGUUUGCUUUGUAGUUGAUGCAAACUAUAGAAAAGCACGAUGUGCAUGUAACAUAGAAUAUAUAGGUAACCGCUGUGAAAUCAAAGAUCAGAACAUGGAUUUACAACAAUUUUCAAAAGAGAAAAAAGGCAUGAAUGGACUAAUUCCCGGUAUAACAGCAUUAAUUGUCAUUGUACUUAUUGUUAGUUUGACAGUUAUAUACAUAAGAGGGAUUGAAAGGAAUGAUAGUAAAAUUCCCCAUCAUGGUACAUCUGAGAACCAGUACAAAGUUGAAGUCUGAACAGUAAUAUGCCACUUUACUUCUCAUAUAAUUGUUGUUUUGGUUUGAAAUUUCCUUAUUUAUUUCUUUCAUAAAACAUUUUAAUUUGCUAAAAUCUAUCAAAAUAUGAAAAAAUUAAAAUUUUUAAUACAC